CAAAUACCCACCAUUUGCUUCAACAUGGAUGGAACUGGAGGGUAUUAUGCUGAGUGAAAACCCAGUUGCCCUCUGCAAGAAGCCCAAACCACAUGGAGAAGUCAAGCGGAAGAGAAAUGAGUCAUCUUCAAAAGCUUCCCAGAGCUUGUGGUAGCCAGCUAGUACCAACUGCCACCAGGUGCAGGAGCCACCUUGGAUUUCAAGUUAUCAGGCUGUGAAUGGAGAAAAAAGAUCGACUGAAUGUUGUGAAAAAAUUGAUUUGUGGAGUCUCAUGAGAGAAGAGGUUGCUGCACAGAGCCUGUCGGAAAUCAUUUCCACCCUGACAAGAUGCCAGCAGUGUGGUGUGAUCUCCCAGCCUUCAGCUCUCAUGCUGGGAGAGAAGCAGAGCGGCACAGGAGAAAAUCCUCAUCAUGGAGAAGCACUGCAGCCAGAUCCUAAGGCCCAGCAUUGUCAUUCGCUCCACUCACCACCUCCCUCCCUCCCCUACCCUCCCUUUCCCCCUCCCUUCUCCACCCUCCCUCGGUGGGUAUAGAAUUCAGUCUUUAUGGAAUCAGAAUGAGUUGAUAUAAGCAAUAGGAACAAAAAAACAACAUCAAAAGAAAUUACACCGCCAUCAAACUAUCUCAUAAUAUCAUUAGUGACCUAAAUUAAAGCAAGAUAAUUGCCCCAGCAGACAACAAGCAGCCAUGAAGAAUACUAAUAACAAGGAAAGCACAUUCCCACACUCUGCCAGGAGCCAAGCUCGACAGCAGUCCUGCAAUUUUUGUGCCGAUUG